CUUUCACGCGAGGAGAUUGCAACCACGGACACCUCCUUGUCUGGUGCAUUGUGUGCGCGAAGCAGCACCUCAGGCCCAGGGCAAUAAUCAUUUCACAGAAAAUGCACCGCCCCGAGUGUCUUAUUGCUGUGAUGAAAUGGAAAUUUAAAUAAAAGGUCGAACACGUGCGUUCAGUGGGAAGUAUUGACAUGGGUGUUACAUCACCGGCAGCCAAUCAGAUAACCCCAGUCGUGUUUAUACUUCUACAACCACCUUGUAAAAAAGAUAUUCUCAAGCAAUGGAGGAGCUUUUUACUCUUCUAAGAAAUGUCUUAAAGGACUACAUCUAGUCACAGUCGAGCAUGAUGGAGGAUAAUGUGAGAAGAAGAAUGUAUAUAAGUAUGUGUGACUGGGUUACUUAGCUGUACAGUAGAAAAUUGACAGAACACUGUAAACCAGCUAUAAUGGAAAAAAUAAAAAUAACUUAAAAGACAAAGUAUUGAGAGUUUAAUCACAAACUAAUAUAAAAUAUGUUCAAGAUAAUUAUCAAGAGUGGAAAAAUGAUAUAUGUUACUAUCAGAGGUAUGUAUUAUGUGCAUAGGAAAAAAUGAGAAAUACAAACUACAAUUGUAGAUUAUCUAGUGUUAGAGGCUUUAAUUUUCUAUCAUAUAUUAAUGGGAAGUUAUAUAUGUUUAAUAAAAAGCAUGUGUUACGAUUUUUUGGCUUUCUAAUUUUAUGAUUGUACUCUUCAGAAAUUCCUAUUUUUAAAAUAGACAGUAUUUAAAGCUCUAAAUAUAUCAUGUGGAGUAUGGAAUGCGAUAUGUUUUUCAAAAUUAACUUAAAAAAAGGAUUUUCCCAGACAUAUUAUAAAAUAUCAUUUGUCUUCAUAUUUUUAAAUGGACCAAACAUACGCAUGCAACGUCCAGGCAUAUAUAUUAUUGAGUGUAUAGAUUUGUUCAAAGCAGUUUUCGCUUACUUCACUGUAAUGUUAGUAUCUGUAGAAAUGAGCAGUGUUGUAUAUCAAACAAAAAAUACUUCUUCUACCUUAGAGAUGAAAUGUAAUUUUAAUGUAAAGAAUGAUGGUACUAACCUGCCACAAAAAGAUUUUGACUUGGAGGUUUUUUUAAAAAAAUAAUGAUCACAUUGCCAUCUGGCCACCAGUGAUCAACAGCUUGAAAUUUCAAUAAGAAUUUUGUGAAAAGAAAAAAAAAAAAGCUUGAAAUUCCGAUAUAGGUCCUCAGAUUUGGUACAGUUUGUGGGUUUUAAACAGUUUUGUCCUGCUUUGUUUUAGUUGUUGGAAAGUUUAGGACAGUAGAAUCUAUGACGUUGAACUAAUUUGUACCUUGGAGAAAUGAGAGGAUUCUGCUUGCUUGACUGUAUGUAUCAUGUGCUUCUAUGUAAUAUAUGGAAGAAUGUUAUAACAAUACUGUGCCUUGUUCUUAAUUCAUUUUUUAAAAAUUCCAAGCACUUUGCAAGUAAAUAUAUUAUGUAUUCAAUUUUAACCACCACUACCGUCUCCAUAAAAAGAGGGAAGUUACUGAAGUUAUUGCUUAUCUAGGAUUAAGGUGAUGGGAAAUAAAGUGUAGUUAAGCAUUUUUUAUUUCAACUUUAAAAGUUAUUUCCAUUCCCAAACUGUUAUGCUUUUGCUUCUUUCAUCUUACAUGCCUAAUACAUAACAGGCAACACAUAAGCUUAUGCUAGUAUUAUUUUUACUGAUUCUGAUAGCACAAGAAUCACCAAAAAUACUUGGAUCCACGAAGCUGUUGUGUCAGAACUUUUUUUUUUCUCUGACAUAUAUCUUACCUAACAUUUGUAAAGUCCACAUUGUCUUCUGUCUGGAAUUAUGUGUAAACAUGGACUAAUCAGGAAUGAACAACACUUGAUUCACAUAGUUAGGGCCACUGAUCUCCUAACAGCCCAACAGUGCGAGUGUUUGUAUUUCUAUUUUUAUCAUUAUGUAUGUAUAGAUAUGUAUUUAGUUGCCUUCUUCUAAACCCCGAAGGAAGAUGGAAUCAGAAACAAAUUUCAAGAGGAUAGUAAUCACAAAUGUCUCAGAAUGCCCUGUACAAGGGAACUUUGAGUAGCAGAAGGGGAUCUCCUAUUCUGUAAAUGGAGUUUUUAAGAAUUCCCCCACCCCUUCCAGUCUCCUACCAGCAAGCAGGGAUCUGUUCUCCCCUCUAACCCCUAUAUUUACUGUUGGGGUUCUACCAUAUUUCAGGGGAUUCCCCCUUAUGCUUACCAGGGGAACCCCUCAAGAAUGGGGCAUCCCCAACCAGUUUGUCCCCUAAUUUCACUUUAGCCUAUGUAAAACUGCUGCAGGUUACCUUGAUAACUCUUACACUGUGAAGAGGCUAAGCUCCUAUACCUGGUUCAGCUGAUGGUCAAACUUGACUGCCCUUUAGUGCCUUGGUUAGAGGCACUUUGCCUUUUAAGUUUCUAGGGACAAUGGCCUAUGAAUCUGUCUAUGGCAUUGACGUGUGUCAUCCACCAGAAUAAAGUACUUG
ensembl:lncRNA